GUGCCAGCAGCCGCGGUAAUGCGUAGGGGGCGAGCGUUGUCCGGAUUUGUUGGGCGUAAAGAGCUCGUAGGCGGUUCAACAAGUCGGUCGUGAAAGUUCAGGGCUCAACCCUGAAAUGUCGAUCGAUACUGUUGUGACUAGGAUACGGUAGAGGUGAGUGGAAUUCCGAGUGUAGCGGUGAAAUGCAUAGAUAUUACACAGAAUACCAAUUGCGAAGGCAGAUUACUAACAAUUAACUGACGCUGAGGGACGAAAGCGUGGGUAGCGAACAGGAUUAGAUA
rnacentral:rRNA from 1 species